GGUAGUCCACGCCGUAAACGAUGGAUGCUAGCUGUUGGGCGUAUCGACCCGCUCGGUAGCGAAGCUAACGCGUUAAGCAUCCCGCCUGGGGAGUACGAGCGCAAAGCUUAAAACUCAAAGGAAUUGACGGGGACCCGCACAAGCGGUGGAGCGUGUGGUUUAAUUCGAUGCUACGCGAAGAACCUUACCAAGGCUUGACAUCCUAGGAAGGCCCUAGAAAUAGGGGCUGUGCCUUCGGGAGCCUAGUGACAGGUGAUGCAUGGCUGUCGUCAGCUCGUGUCGUGAGAUGUUAGGUUAAG
rnacentral:rRNA from 1 species